rnacentral:rRNA from 1 species
AACGAACGCUGGCGGCAUGCCUAACACAUGCAAGUCGAACGAGACCUUCGGGUCUAGUGGCGCUCGGGUGCGUAACGCGUGGGAACCUGCCCUUAGGUUCGGAAUAACUCCCCGAAAGGGGUGCUAAUACCGGAUAAUGUCUUCGGACCAAAGAUUUAUCGCCUUUGGAUGGGCCCGCGUUGGAUUAGCUAGUUGGUAGGGUAAAAGCCUACCAAGGCGACGAUCCAUAGCUGGUCUGAGAGGAUGAUCAGCCACACUGGGACUGAGACACGGCCCAGACUCCUACGGGAGGCAGCAGUGGGGAAUAUUGGACAAUGGGCGAAAGCCUGAUCCAGCAAUGCCGCGUGAGUGAUGAAGGCCUUAGGGUUGUAAAGCUCUUGUACCCGGGAUGAUAAUGACAGUACCGGGAGAAUAAGCUCCGGCUAACUCCGUG